rnacentral:rRNA from 1 species
CGAGCACGCGCGUGUGGCAUAUCAAUAAGCGGAGGAAAAGAAACUAACAAGGAUUCCCCUAGUAACGGCGAGUGAAGCGGGAAGAGCUCAAAUUUGAAAUCUUAAAGGGUUUCCCUUUACGAAUUGUAGUUUAAAGAAGUGUUUUCUGUUGGAGUUUCGGUAAAAGUUCUUUGGAAUAGGACAUCAUAGAGGGUGAGAAUCCCGUAUUUGACCGUUACUUUCCAGCUGUGUGAUACACUUUCAAAGAGUCGGAUUGUUUGGGAAUGCAGUCCAAAAUGGGUGGUAAAUUUCAUCUAAAGCUAAAUAUUGGCGAGAGACCGAUAGCGAACAAGUACCGUGAGGGAAAGAUGAAAAGAACUUUGAAAAGAGAGUUAAACAGUACGUGAAAUUGUCAAAAGGGAAGCGUUUGACACCAGUGUUGUUCUAGCUGAAAAUCAAUUUAAUGAUAUCUUCGAUGCUAAGCUAGUAUGACCUUAUCCGCUUGUUGUUUAGUUUUCUUGUCUUCGUGAAUGCACUUUUCGUGGAACAAGUCAACAUCAAUUUCUUUUGCUGUAAAAGGGUAAGAGGAAGGUGGCUUCGGCUUCGGUUGAAGUGUUUAUAGCCUUUUAUCUCUGCAGUCGGAGAGAUUGAGGUCUGCAGCGUAGACUCUUCGGGGUUAGAUACGUCGGUGCUAAGCUAUAGCUUUUCAUAGACAACUUGUUGACUAUGUUUAGUCAUGUGGCUUACCCGCUGGCGCUAUUUUACCUACGCUUAGGAUGUUGAGUCAUCACACAUCUCU